rfam:Thermoplasmatales archaeon SM1-50 WOR1_30_36_292, whole genome shotgun sequence.
AGCCCCGUAGUGUAGUGGUCAAUCAUACGAGACUCUGGUUCUCGUGACAUCGGUUCGAAUCCGUUCGGGGCUA